AUUGAACGCUGGCGGCAGGCCUAACACAUGCAAGUCGAGCGAGCGGCGGACGGGUGAGUAAUGUAUGGGGACUGCCCGAUAGAGGGGGAUAACUACUGGAAACGGUAGCUAAUCCCGCAUACUAUCCAAUAACCCAUAUGGUAUUAGCUAGUAGGUGAGGUAAUGGCUCACCUAGGCGACGAUCCCUAGCUGGUCUGAGAGGAUGAUCAGCCACACUGGGACUGAGAAACGGCCCAGACUCCGACGGAGGCAGCAGUGGGGAAUAUUGCACAAUGGGCGCAAGCCUGAUACAGCCAUGCCGCGUGUAUGAAGAAGGCCCUAGGGUUGUAAAGUACUUUCAGUCGGGAGGCGUUACCGACAGAAGAAGCACCGGCUAACUCCGUGCCAGCAGCCGCGGUAAUUC
rnacentral:rRNA from 1 species